rnacentral:rRNA from 1 species
AAACGACUCUCGGCAACGGAUAUCUCGGCUCUUGCAUCGAUGAAGAACGUAGCGAAAUGCGAUACUUGGUGUGAAUUGCAGAAUCCCGUGAACCAUCGAGUUUUUGAACGCAAGUUGCGCCCGAAACCUUUAGGUUGAGGGCACGUCCUGCCUGGGCGUCACAC